rnacentral:rRNA from 1 species
UGGAUAACCUACCUAUAAGACUGGGAUAACUUCGGGAAACCGGAGCUAAUACCGGAUAAUAUAUUGAACCGCAUGGUUCAAUAGUGAAAGACGGUUUUGCUGUCACUUAUAGAUGGAUCCGCGCCGCAUUAGCUAGUUGGUAAGGUAACGGCUUACCAAGGCAACGAUGCGUAGCCGACCUGAGAGGGUGAUCGGCCACACUGGAACUGAGGCACGGUCCAG